rnacentral:rRNA from 1 species
CAGCCGCCGCGGGAAUACGGAGGGGGCUAGCGUUGUUCGGAAUUACUGGGCGUAAAGCGCACGUAGGCGGCUUGGUAAGUUAGGGGUGAAAGCCCGGAGCUCAACUCCGGAAUUGCCUUUAAGACUGCCGAGCUAGUAGGUGAGAGAGGUAAGUGGAAUUCCGAGUGUAGAGGUGAAAUUCGUAGAUAUUCGGAAGAACACCAGUGGCGAAGGCGGCUUACUGGCUCAUUCUAGACGCUGAGGUGCGAAAGCGUGGGGAGCAAACAGGAUUAGAUACCCCCGUAGUCCCUGUCUCUUAUAC